AACUCAAACACAAAUACAUAAAAUAAUAUGUUGUUGCAUUUUAAAACUAAUUUAUCUGUAAUGGUUAUACAUCAUUGGUGUGCGUGAAGACAGCUUGAGAUCUAUCUUUCAGUUUUUAUUCCGUCGAUUGAUCGACCAUUACUGUUUUUCUGCGAUUCUUGAGCAUCGUUGAGGACUGCGAAAUGCCGGAACAAUGAUCCGGAACCUGUUUGCUGUACGAAUUUAGACCCCAUUUCAUACAUGAGUCCUUCGUAGCAAUAUAGACUUUGGAGCUGAUAUAUAAUCUUCACGUCAUGUCUACGUGAAAACCUACGUGGUUUUUCUCCACAGCACUUUUCACGUAACGGAUAAGUGAUUUAAUGGUGAAGGAACUCAGUACCACUCAAUCGGAUGUCACAGGCAUUCAACUUAAAGUCUACGUAACUAUUUCAAUGGGUUAUAUGAGGAACAUGAUCUUUCCCACAUUCGAAUUAAUUAUUACAUCAUCAAUAAUAGUUUGCGAUGGUUCGAUUGAUCGACCAUUAGUGUUUUUCUGCGAUUCUUGAGCAUCGUUGAGGACUGGGAAAUGCCGGAACAAUGUUCCGGAACCUGUUUGCUGUACGAAUUUAGACCCCAUUUCAUACAUGAGUCCUUCGUAGCAAUAUAGACUUUGGAGCUGAUAUAUAAUCUUCACGUCAUGUCUACGUGAAAACCUACGUGGUUUUUCUCCACAGCACUUUUCACGUAACGGAUAAGUGACAGUGAGGAAGGAGGUGAAGGAACUCAGUACCACUCAAUCGGAUGUCACAGGCAUUCAACUUAAAGUCUACGUAACUAUUUCAAUGGGUUA